rnacentral:tRNA from 1 species
GCAGUGGUGGUUCAGUGGUGGAAUUCUCGCCUUCCGUGCGGGAGACCCGGGUUCGAUUCUCAGCCAGUGCA